GAUGAACGCUGGCGGCGUGCCUAAUACAUGCAAGUCGAGCGAACAGACGAGGAGCUUGCUCCUCUGACGUUAGCGGCGGACGGGUGAGUAACACGUGGAUAACCUACCUAUAAGACUGGGAUAACUUCGGGAAACCGGAGCUAAUACCGGAUAAUAUAUUGAACCGCAUGGUUCAAUAGUGAAAGACGGUUUUGCUGUCACUUAUAGAUGGAUCCGCGCCGCAUUAGCUAGUUGGUAAGGUAACGGCUUACCAAGGCAACGAUGCGUAGCCGACCUGAGAGCGUGAUCGGCCACACUGGAACUGAGACACGGUCCAGACUCCUACGGGAGGCAGCAGUAGGGAAUCUUCCGCAAUAGGCGAAAGCCUAACAGAACAACGCCGCGUGAGUGAUGAAGUUCUUCGGAUCGUAAAACUCUGUUAUUAGGGAAGAACAAAUGCGUAAGUAACUCUGCACGUCUUGACGGUACCUAAUCAGAAAUCCACGGCUAACUACGUG
rnacentral:rRNA from 1 species